UAUCAAUAAGCGGAGGAAAAGAAACUAACAAGGAUUCCCCUAGUAACUGCGAGUGAAGCGGGAAAAGCUCAAAUUUAAAAUCUGGUGGUCUUUGGCCAUCCGAGUUGUAAUUUAGAGAAGCGUCUUCCGCGCUGGACCGUGCACAAGUCUCCUGGAAUGGAGCGUCAUAGAGGGUGAGAAUCCCGUCUUUGGCAUGGAAUCCCAGGGCUUCUGUGAUGCGCUCUCGACGAGUCGAGUUGUUUGGGAAUGCAGCUCAAAAUGGGUGGUGAACUCCAUCUAAAGCUAAAUAUUGGCGAGAGACCGAUAGCGAACAAGUACCGUGAGGGAAAGAUGAAAAGCACUUUGGAAAGAGAGUGAAACAGUACGUGAAAUUGUUGAAAGGGAAACGCUUGAAGUCAGUCGCGUCGACCGAGACUCAGCCUUGCCUCGGCUUGGUGUACUUCUCGGCUGACGGGUCAGCAUCGAUUUCGAUCCUCGGAUAAUGGCGAGGGAAAGGUAGCACCUUUUUAGGUGUGUUAUAGUCCUCCGUCGCAUGCGAGGGUCGGGAUCGAGGAACUCAGCACGCACCUCAGGGUGUCGGGGCCUUGGCCCACGUUUACGUGCUUAGGAUGCUGGCGUAAUGGCUUUAAACGACC
rnacentral:rRNA from 1 species